rnacentral:rRNA from 1 species
AAUAUUGGACAUUGGGGGCAACCGUGAUCCAGCCAUGCCGCGUGUGUGAAGAAGGUCUUCGGAUUGUAAAGCCCUUUAAGUGGGGAGGAGGGGCUUUAGGCUAAUACCCUGAACUUUUGACGUUACCAACAGAAUAAGCACCGGCUAACUCUGUGCCAGCAGCCGCGGUAAUAAAGAGGGUGCAAGCGUUCAACGGAAUUACUGGGCGUAAAGCGCGCGUAGGUGGUGCAGUAAGAUGGGUGUGAAAACCCCGGGCUUAACCUGGGAACUGCUUUCAUAACUGCUGAGCUAGAGUACGGUAGAGGGUAGGGGAAUUUCCUGUGUAGCGGUGAAAUGCGUAGAUAUAGGGAGGAACACCAGUGGCGAAGGCGACUACCUGGACUGAUACUGACACUGAGGUGCGAAAGCGUGGGGAGCAAACA